UGCAACCUACGGGGCGCAGCAGUGGGGAAUAUUGCACAAUGGGGGAAACCCUGAUGCAGCAACGCCGCGUGAGUGUAGAAGUAUUUCGGUAUGUAAAGCUCUAUCAGCAGGGAAGAGAAUGACGGUACCUGACUAAGAAGCCCCGGCUAACUACGUGCCAGCAGCCGCGGUAAUACGUAGGGGGCAAGCGUUAUCCGGAUUUACUGGGUGUAAAGGGAGCGUAGACGGCUGGCCAAGUCUGAAGUGAAAGUCCGGGGCUUAACCCCGGAACGGCUUUGGAAACUGGCCGGCUGGAGUGCUGGAGG
rnacentral:rRNA from 1 species